rnacentral:rRNA from 1 species
AAAUUGACUUACUGUUUUAAUAAAAAUUUAUUUUAGAGAAUUAUCUUUUACUUUAGUAUUUUACUGAAAAAGUUGUUUUUGUAAUAGUUUACUAGUACUGGAAGUAACUUGAAAUAAUCUGAAAAUUUAUUUAGGAAAAAGCAUACCUUUUUGUAGUACCUUUUGUAUCAGGGAUGAUUAAUUUUAUUUAAUUUAUAUUGAGA